rnacentral:rRNA from 1 species
UACAGUGGGGGCAAGCGUUGUUCGGAAUUACUGGGCGUAAAGGGCUUGUAGGUGGCCAAUUAAGUCAGACGUGAAAUCCCUCAGCUUAACUGGGGAACUGCGUCUGAUACUGGAUGGCUUGAGUUUGGGAGAGGGAUGCGGAAUUCCAGGUGUAGCGGUGAAAUGCGUAGAUAUCUGGAGGAACACCGGUGGCGAAGGCGGCAUCCUGGACCAACACUGACACUGAAAAGCGAAAGCCAGGGGAGCAAACGGG